CUUUUCCUCCCUCCCUUUCUUAUUACUCCUCUGAGUGUUUCUCAUCUUCCCAACACAUUUUCUGCUGAAGGCCUUAGAACUAACAUCACAGUUCUGAUACGAGUGAAACAAAUGAGAGCAGUCCAACAGGAAAGCCGUAAGAGCCCACUCUUUCUGAGCGCCUAGUGGGAGAUCUGGAAGAUUACAUCGCACCUCUUUUCCAGACAUUAGCGUAAACACAGUAUGUCAGUAUUGAUAUGUCAAUCUUGUAAGUCUAUCUUGCCUCUACGGUUAUAGAGUAGAUGGCAGAAAUGAAUACAGUAAAACCAAAGAGAGUGCAGUUUUGAGGGUGACAGGCAGCUGAAGUUAUAGCUGGUGCAGCAGUAAAGAAUCCGCCUGCCAAUACAGGAGAUGCAAGAGACAUGGGUUCG